ACCGCGCACAAACCCAUUAAGAGCAUCUAGAUUCCCCUGGUGUUCUUAAGUCUCGUGCGCGGAGAGCAUUUCGACUUGUCGCCUUCUGGGGUCCCUCCAAUGACCCCUGAAGUGAAAUCAAGUUGGAACAGAU